GAUGAACGCUGGCGGAGUGCCUAACACAUGCAAGUCGAGCGGCAGCGCGAAGAAUUUAUUCUUUGGCGGCGAGCGGCGGACGGCUGAGUAACGCGUGGGAACAUGCCCCAAAGUGAGGGAUAAGCAUCGGAAACGGUGUCUAAUACCGCAUAUGAUCUUCGGAUUAAAGGAUUUAUCCGCUUUGGGAAUGGCCUGCGUACGAUUAGAUAGUUGGUGAGGUAACGGCNCACCAAGGCUAUGACGGGUAGCUGGUCUGAGAGGACGACCAGUCACACUGGAACUGAGACACGGUCCAGACACCUACGGGUGGCAGCAGUCGAGAAUUUUUCUCAAUGGGGGAAACCCUGAAGGAGCGACGCCGCGUGGAGGAUGAAGGCUUUCGGGUUGUAAACCUCUUUCAGCCCUGACGAAGCGAAAGUGACGGUAGGGGCAGAAGAAGCACCGGCCAACUACGUGCCAGCAGCCG
rnacentral:rRNA from 1 species